rnacentral:rRNA from 1 species
CCUACGGGAGGCAGCAGUGAGGAAUAUUGGUCAAUGGUCGGGAGACUGAACCAGCCAAGCCGCGUGAGGGAUGAAGGUACAGAGUAUCGUAAACCUCUUUUGUCAGGGAACAAAGGCGGGGACGUGUCCCCGGAUGAGUGUACCUGAAGAAAAAGCAUCGGCUAACUCCGUGCCAGCAGCCGCGGUAAUACGGAGGAUGCGAGCGUUAUCCGGAUUUAUUGGGUUUAAAGGGUGCGCAGGCGGUCUGUUAAGUCAGCGGUAAAAGCCCGGGGCUCAACCCGGGCCCGCCGUUGAGACUGGCAGUCUCGAGUUGGAGAGAAGUAUGCGGAAUGCGCGGUGUAGCGGUGAAAUGCAUAGAUAUCGCGCAGAACUCCGAUUGUGAAGGCAGCAUGCCGGCUCCACACUGACGCUGAGGCACGAAAGCGUGGGUAUCGAACAGGAUUAGAUACCCCUGUAGUC